rnacentral:misc_RNA from 1 species
UGAACUUCCCGCCGCCGUUGUUGUUUUGGAGCACGGAAAGACGAUGACGGAAAAAGAGAUCGUGGAUUACGUCGCCAGUCAAGUAACAACCGCGAAAAAGUUGCGCGGAGGAGUUGUGUUUGUGGACGAAGUACCGAAAGGUCUUACCGGAAAACUCGACGCAAGAAAAAUCAGAGAGAUCCUCAUAAAGGCCAAGAAGG